CAUCAGAUGACUGAAAGUAAGUAGUGGUCUCUUAAACCAUUAAUAGUAAUUAACAACUACUUCUGAUG
rnacentral:tRNA from 1 species